AAUGAAAUUGUGAAGAGUGCCUGAAGGCACCUUCAGAAACCUUUACAGGUUUGGAAAUCCAGAGCCAUAAUUUGAACAUAAGCUACUAUGUUCAAAAUGUAUAGAAGAAUAAUGCUCUGUAACUCUGAUCAGUUUAGGUUUUGAUCAAGAUGUGCUUUGGACCUUUAGCAGAGGUUGGAAAUGUAUUUCCUUUUGUUGAUUUUAAGCCUGCUGCUUGAUAACCUGAUUGAUUGCUGCCUAUUUCCUCUGUAUCAAGGAAAAGAGAGUAAUCAACCCCUGUUUAUUUUCCCUGUGUCUUUCAUGAUUUAGUAGAUCUUCAUUACAUGUCCUGUGCUGUCUUGAUCUCUUGCAGUUCUACUAUUGCCUUCAGGGAAAAAAAAAAUCUCUGAAUAUACCCACAGAUGAAUGCAGUGAGAAAACAUUUUCUUCUUUAAAUAAUUUCUGAUAUUUCAUACAGAGUCUCCAGAGUAGCAUGUUGAUAUUUUCCCAGUGAUACUGACAUCUGUUUUCUACAUGGUAAUGACUGUUUUAGAGCCUACUACAGGUACAGUUAGAGUAAUUUCUCCAUAGUGCACUACUUUUAAUGUCCUAAUCCAGCUGUAGCAUGAAAAUGUUACAUAAUCAAAACUCUAAUGCCUAUGCGAGUUCAGAAAAAAAAAAAAGUCUAAGUCCACAAUAAGGCAUGGCUUUGUUUUCUUAGUUUUAAUUGUCAAUAUGUCAUAACUCUGAUUAUCCAUUUAUGAGUCAGCUAUUAUAGAAUACUGUAUGUGUGUCCUAGCUUAUCUCCUAGGACACACAUACAAGACACUGUUCAGAAACACUUAAAUAUGUUGCAUCUUUUGUUUUGCUGUAGUAGUAUUAGAACUGUGUGAACACUUAGAGAAAUUCCCUGCCUACUCAUGGGUUUUUUGCUGAUCUUUUUUCCCUAUAAUUUUUUUUGGUGAAUUUUCUGCCAACAGUUUAAUAAAUGGCUUUGAGAAGCUCAUGAUCUACAGUAGAUAGCUAUUGAUUUGUAGGCUGUUGCAACUUCAUGAGCAAAGAUAGGAUUUAAAUAUGUGUUGUGUGAAUUAUGCAAACUGUGCAAUCAAGCUACACAUUGGCUCUUCAUUUAGGACUGGCUCAAGCACAAUAGAUUCCUAAUUGCAAAAUAUAUGUUGCUAAUUUAAUUGCUUAAUGCACCCAUUAACCACAAGAGAAACAUGGGGUUUAAAUUGUCUCCUGACAAAAUGUACACCUGAGAGAAAUGCUGCCUUUGAUUGGAAAUAUUUGAGUGUUUUUAAAAAGGAUUCUCUUAGGACAUGGCUUUGUUGCUGAACCAUGCUUUCCUUCAAAGGUAAAUGCAUGGUUUUGGGUGGAGGGGGCAAAAGAUCCAUUUGUAGCUAUCAGCAAAAUUAAAUUCCUUUCUUUCCAGCCUUGCCCCACCUUAUUCAUUCUGUUACCAUUUCUCUCCAUGUUUUGAGCCCUAAAUAUAGAGGAAUUAGGAUAACUAUACCCAGAGUCUGCUUUUGUGUAGUUCUGCACAGACAAAAGAGUCACUAAUCAGAGGACUGAAAUAGUUAGCUCUAUCACUGAGGCUGUGUGCUGCACACUUCAUUGCUGGCAGGUUGAGCUCUGUGUACCACUAACCCUGCAUGUGCGAGAACUCACUAGGCUUUGUUUCAAAAAUUAUUGAAAUGACCUUGCAAGUAGCCAAUUAAUUCUAUUUAAAUACUUGCUAAUGGCCAGAGAACAAGCACAGUACAAACUAAAGCUAAAUCUUCAAACGCUGUUUUGCCAAUAAUUAGACUCAGGGCCUGCAAGCAAUGACUUGCUAUUACAGUUUUCCUGAAAGCCCUGACAUUUUUCCCCUGACAAAAGUGGUAUUGAGUACGGGGCUGUCAUGAGGGAGCUGCAGUUGCAUUCAUUGACAGUAUGCCCGAGGGUAAGAGACUUGCAUAUACAAGGUGAAGAAAAUACUUAAUUUACUUGUUAAAUCAGUUCCCUCUGCUGUUUUCCAUUAGCAAAAGUCUUUGCCAGCUGUGACUGUAGAUCCUGCUAAAGCUUCAUGGAAACAGUUUCUUUUUGUUCCUUUUUUCGCAGGUUGGAUUUUAGCUCUUUUGUGUUGCAGAAAUUUUGAUUAGAGAUUUUUGAACAAGUGAAGGAAUGAGCUGCUCUCUCCAGGGCUGCCUGGGUGAGCAGAGCUGAUCUGAGGAGCUCAGGUGACAGCAAUGUGCUACUCUUUUAGGAACCCAAACAACCCAGUGGUGCUUUGUCUGUCAGUGUAUAAAAUCUGCUUGGAAGUAAAAAGUAAAGCAUUUUAUACCUGCCUUUGAAAGGAGGACGUAUGCCUGUAGUUCUGGUUUGAUACGGUUCUGUAAGUAGCACAUAUCUUUCUAAAAGGCUUUGUGGAUGGGUAAAGUGCUUUUCAUGUAAAAAAUUUAUUAUUUGUAGCAGAAGACUUUCUUUUUCUAGUCUUUGUCUUACCAUAUGUUUGCACUUUGCUUGAACAUUGUGGUUUGUGGUCAAUACAGACAUACUACAGGUUUAAUUACAUGUAUAAUCUAAGUGCCUAGACUGUGAAGAACAUUUAUGAAAAUAUGAUGCUAUCCUAACAGAAAAACAGAAGAUCUAUAAAUUCUCAAAUGAAACAUAAUUUCUAGUCUUUUUUCACUCUACAUUUAUGUCACUACUUGAUUUGUAAAGUUAGAAAAAUGUAACCAAAAGUUUGGUUCUUAUCCUUCAUACUUACAAGCCAAAAUUAUUUGAGCAAAGCCAAACCCUCUGAAAUGGAUUACAUGGCAAAUUUGCUCAGACAUAGCUGCUAGGUUUUCAAACCAUUGGACAAGAGUCUUCAUUUCUAAGACUUUUUCAUUGUUCCACUAUGGACGAGCAAACCUGUAUGUAGGAUACUCUUUUUAUUCUCUAGAACCAGAUGAUCUGGAAGGAAGUCUGAAAAGCAAAAAAAUUAUGCAGAUGAGAAGAUUUUGCCUCUGCAUGUCUUAGUCUGGUUUAACAGUCAUUGUUUCAAAUAUGCUCAAGAAUAAAGAUUCCCUUGUCUUCGUAUCUCAUUGUACAGGAAGAUAUGAAAUCUCAAGAUAUGUCAGUCUGGUAUCUCUUCUGUGCUUCUGCAGCCUAGAUUUGAUUUGCUCAGGACUAAUGGGAGGCCUUCUAACAAGAGGAUUAUUCAUGUGGAAGUUCCUGCUGCUUUCUGUCUAGCAGACAUGUGCCAGGCAAUUCCUACGGCUUGGUGUAAUCUUUUUUCUACUAACUUUAUUUAACUUAGCAAAGCAUGCCCUGUAUUUGAUCUAGCUCAGCCAUCCACUUGGAUGUCUCACACAGCUGAGUUGUCUGAACUGAAAAGGAAUGAAAAGCACCCAGCUGACAUUGGCACUGCUCAGUGAGAAGGGAAGAGCUCCACUGUGUCAGGAAAACAAACCAUCUAGUGCUUUUUGAUCUUCAUCUGCAAAUAGUUUGUAUGGUCAGAUUUCCCAUGCCUGCUCUUUAGAACCUGUGAUCAUCAUACUCUUAUCCCAACUGUUACAGUGCAAUUUCCCCCUCUGAGUUCUAGAUAUAAGUUUGAGUUAGAAAACAAGUAAUGUCUUAAUAAAGGAAUUUUCUUGAUGUGG